rnacentral:rRNA from 1 species
GAUGAACGCUAGCGGCAGGCUUAAUACAUGCAAGUCGAGGGGCAUCAAGGUACACGAAAGUGUAUUGUUGGCGACCGGCGGACGGGUGAGUAAUAGGUAGGUAACCUACCUCAUACUGAGGCAUAGCUGGGAGAAAUUCCAGGUAAUUCCUCAUGAGGUUAUAUGACACAUGUGAUAUAAUCAAAGGUAUCGCAAGGUACUGGUAUGAGAUGGGCUUACUGAUCAUUAGCUAGUUGGUGAGAUAAGAGCUCACCAAGGCGAAGAUGGUUAGGGGUUUUGAGAGAGAGAUCCCCCACAUUGGAACUGAGAUACGGUCCAGACUCCUACGGGAGGCAGCAGUAGGGAAUAUUGGGCAAUGGGCGGAAGCCUGACCCAGCCAUGCCGCGUGAAGGAAGACGGCCUUAUGGGUUGUAAAACUUCUUUACUAUGCGACUAACUAGAUUUUACGAGAUAAUUCUAUAGAAUGUAGCAUAGCAAAAAGCACCGG